UACGAAGAGGGCUAGCGUUGUUCGGAAUUACUGGGCGUAAAGGGCGCGUAGGCGGCCUUCUAAGUCGAACGUGAAAUCCCCGGGCUCAACCCGGGAACUGCGUCCGAUACUGGAAGGCUUGAAUUCGGAAGAGGCGAGUGGAAUUCCUGGUGUAGCGGUGGAAUGCGCAGAUAUCAGGAGGAACACCAAUAGCGAAGGCAGCUCGCUGGGACGUUACUGACACUGAGGCGCGAAAGCGUGGGGAGCGAACAGG
rnacentral:rRNA from 1 species